AAACGCGCGCGCGCGCGUGUGCGCGCGAUUCCCGGGGACGAGAGACGGGAAUCGCGGCUGAUCGCCGUGAAAUCGCGAUGUAAUACGAACUCGUCUAAGAAAAUCAAUAACCCCCCUGGUGCCGCACGCUUGGCUUCUUCGUUGCGCAGAACUACAGAGUCUCCGCAUUGCCUCUCUCUACCCCCAAAAAA